rnacentral:ncRNA from 2 species
GGGUGCCCUUCCCGGUGCCGCGCCCCGCAGCGCCGGUGAAGAUGGCAGGUCGUCGCGCAGGUCGGGCCGCCGCG